rnacentral:sRNA from 1 species
GCUGGUUACAGUGGCGCAUGCCUGUAAUCCCAGCUACUUGGGAGGCUGAGACAGGAAGAUUGCAAGUUCAAGGCCAGCCUUAGCAACUUCAUGAGACCCUGUCUCAA